rnacentral:tRNA from 1 species
GCGCGAUUAGCUCAUUGGUAGAGCACUGCUUUGACAUAGCAGGGGUAGUAAGUUCAAUUCUUACAUCGCGCACCA